CAAGUGAGAAAAUGUUGUUUAAUUCAAUCAUCAGCUACCUGGUUAUGCACUCCUUGGGAGAGCAAUUGUGUAGUUUUGUUAUCCUCAGGAGGAUUGUUGUUAUAAAGUUUAGAUAAAACAAAAACACAUAACCAAAUUGAAAAUCUUUACUUUUUCUGGGGUUGCUUAUGCAGUAGAAGGUGUGCCCAGCAUUCCAGUGUUUGAUGAAUGAUUAAUACCCAUGUUUCCAGCCUUUCAAGAUUCUAGGCUUUCACAGUACUUAGUGGAAAAUACCCCCUAGAAAUGAACUAAGCUUGUGUCAGUACAGAUACAGUGGCUGCAGUCAAUAUUAGUUGAUAUUAUAUGACAUAUUACAUUGUUCAAUUGAACCAGUUUUAAUUCUUAAAGAUAAGCAACUUCCCAGAAAAGGAGCUCAUGAACAUAAAAUUCUAUACAGGGUUCUUAAAUCAUCUCUCAAUAUUUGUUUAUAUGACAAGGAUUUGUAUUCUGUUAUAUAAUCUUUUUUCCCAAUUAACAUAUUCUAAGGGAAAAAAUAAAGAUCUUGUGCAAAUGACCUUUUAUAAUAAAAUAAAACUUCCAGAAGGUUAAAAAAUAAUGGAAAUCUAGGCUAAUAAAUCCUCUCACAGAUAUAUGUUUCCAUUAACUGCUGCUCUCCUUCUUGAUCUUAGCACUGCAGGUUUAGAAAAUUAGAAUUUCUGGG
rnacentral:lncRNA from 1 species